rnacentral:rRNA from 1 species
CGCGUGGGUAACCUGCCUUACACAGGGGGAUAACACCUGGAAACAGAUGCUAAUACCGGAUAACAACACUAGACGCAUGUCUAGAGUUUAAAAGAUGGUUCUGCUAUCACUCUUGGAUGGACCUGCGGUGCAUUAGCUAGUUGGUAAGGUAACGGCUUACCAAGGCAAUGAUGCAUAGCCGAGUUGAGAGACUGAUCGGCCACAUUGGGACUGAGACACGGCCCAAACUCCUACGGAAGGCAGCAG